GGGGUGUAAUGAUAGACAGGAGGAUAUGGGCAGGAGAGGAGGGAUGAGAGAGAGGAAGAAAGGGGUGAGAGAGUAGGGAUGAGAUGAUGAGAGAGAAGGUGAGAAAGCAGGGGUGAAAUGAAAGACAGGAGGAUAUGGGCAGGAGAGGAGGGAUGAGAGAGAGGAAGAAAGGGGUGAGAGAGUAGGGAUGAGAUGAUGAGAGAGAAGGAAAGAGGUGAGAGAGCAGAGGCAAAAUGAGAAAGAGGAAGAUAUUGAUAUUGGCAGGAGAGAAGGGGGGGGGGUGGUUGAGAGAGGAGGAAAGGAGUGAAAGAGUAGAGAUGAGAUGAUGAGAGAGAAGGUGAGAAAGCAGGGGUGAAAUGAAAGACAGGAGGAUAUGGGCAGGAGAGGAGGGAUGAGAUAGGAAGAAAGGAGUGAGAGAAUAGAGAUGAGAUGAUAAGAGAGGUGAGAGAGCAGGGGUGAAAUGAGUGAGAGGAGAAUAUGGGUAAGAGAGGAGGGAUGUGAUAGAGGAUGGAUGAGUUGAGAGAGAGGAGGAGAAAGAUGAAAUGAUAGAGAGGAUUGGCAAGUAAGCGGGGGGAGUAAAAUGAGAUGAGAGAGAGGAUGAGGGAAGGAAGGGAGGGUGAGAAAGGCUGGAAGGAAGAGGAAGAAGAGGGAAAUGAGAGAGGAAAGGGAGAGAAGGAAAAAGAUGAUAUGGAGAGAAGUAGAGGGAAGAGAGAAAAAAGUGAGAGGAGUAUAAUGGGGUCACAUGUCCAUGUAAAUAACAUUUUACACACGGAGACAGGAAGAUUGAUUUUCUCCUUCACCAGAACCUAAAUGUAUAAUCCAUUGGCUGAAAUUGUAAACGACACCAGAUCUUACUUGAUUUGAGAGGCUGGCACAUGUUUGAUGUAGAUGUAUAUAGGAACAGGAGUAUAUCUAUGCAAUUUAUUGUGACGCCAUUUUUUAUUGUAGAUAUUUAUUUUUUAUGAUCUUAAGUUUGUACUGUGCAUUAACUGGCUGUCAGUAAUAAUUAUCCUAUAUAUAUAUAUAUACAUAUAACUUACUAUCAGUAGAUAUUGUAGAUUUAAUGCUUUGUUAUAUAGGUACUGAGGGCACGUAUAAUCUGUAAUAAUGGCUCUGUUUCAGAAAAUGUUGAGCAUUGUGCCUUGACAGAUGUACUUAAUUUAUGAGAGUUGUACAUCUUCAUCCAAUAAUAAAUAAAAUAGAUGUUA